rnacentral:rRNA from 1 species
GUCUACGGCCAUGUCACUCUGAAUAAGCCCAAUCCCGUCUGAUCUCGGAAGCUAAGUAGGGUCGGGCCUGUUUAGACUUGAAUGGGAGACCACCUAGGAAGACCAGGUGCUGUAGGCG